rnacentral:rRNA from 1 species
UGCACGUUCUUUCCUACGGGACAUUCGCCUCUGCUAUUCAUUUAGUGGGGGUAUUCUUGGCUUCGGUCGAGUUUCGCUGCUGCGUUUGUACUUGGUGGACUUGUUCGCUGGCGCUUUCGGGCAAUAGUGGCGGUUGCCAAGUCGACGUAGUUAGUUGGAAUGCCCGUUCGUUUACCUUGAAUAAACUAGAGUGUUCAAAGCAGGCGUCGCGCCGUUGAAUACAUUAGCAUGGGAUAAUGGAAUAGGACUGUGGUUCUAUUUCGUUGGUUUCGGGACCUCAGUAAUGAUUAAUAGGGAUAGUUGGGGGCAUUCGUAUUCAAUUGUCAGAGGUGAAAUUCUUGGAUUUAUGGAAGACGAACUUGGGCGAAAGCAUCUGUCAAGGAUGUUUUCAUUAAUCAAGAUCGAAAGUUAGGGGAUCGAAGACGAUCAGAUACCGUCGUAGUCUUAACCAUAAACUAUGCCGACCAAGGAUUGGAGGCCGUUACAUGGAUGACUCCUUCAGCACUUUGUGAGAAAUCACAAGUCUUCGGGCUUUGGGGGGAGUAUGGUCGCAAGGCUGAAACUUAAAGGAAUUGACGGAAGGGCACCACCAGGAGUGGAGCCUGCGGCUCAAUUUGACCCAACACGGGAAAACUUACCAGGUCCAGACAUAGGAAGGAUUGACAGAUUGAGAGCUCUUUCUUGAUUCUAUGGGUGGUGGUGCAUGGCCGUUCUUAGUUGGUGGAGUGAUCUGUCUGUUAAUUCCGAUAACGAACGAGACCUUAACCUGCUAAAUAGUUAUUCAGAUCCGUCUACUCAAAGGGCAAAGCGAAGCAGAUGUCCACUUCGGUGGCUCUGUAGAUGUGGAUCCCUGGUCGGAUCUGAAGAUAUACUUCUUAGAGGGACUAUUGGUAUCUAGCCAAUGGAAGUUUGAGGCAAUAACAGGUCUGUGAUGCCCUUUAGAUGUUCUGGGCUGCACGCGCGCUACACUGAUGCAUUCAACGAGUACACAACCUUGGCUGAUGAGUCUGGGUAAUCUUGUGAACGUGCAUCGUGCUGGGGAUAGAUGAUUGCAAUUAUUCGUCUUCAACGAGGAAUUCCUAGUAAGCGUGAGUCAUCAGCUCGCGUUGAUUACGUCCCUGCCCUUUGUACACACCGCCCGUCGCUCCUACCGAUUGAAUGGUCCGGUGAAAUUUUCGGAUUGCUACUUAUGCCUAUUAGUUUCGGCUGAUGGGAAAAGUGGUCGAGAAGUUAAUUAAACCUUAUCAUUUAGAGGAAGGAGAAGU